UACGUAGGGUGCGAGCGUUGUCCGGAAUUAUUGGGCGUAAAGAGCUCGUAGGCGGUGUGUCACGUCGAUCGUGAAAACUUGGGGCUUAACUCUGAGCUUGCGGUCGAUACGGGCAUCACUGGAGUUUGGCAGGGGAGACUGGAAUUCCUGGUGUAGCGGUGAAAUGCGCAGAUAUCAGGAGGAACACCGGUGGCGAAGGCGGGUCUCUGGGCCGAUACUGACGCUGAGGAGCGAAAGCGUGGGGAGCGAACAGG
rnacentral:rRNA from 1 species